AGCGAACGCUGGCGGCGUGCCUAACACAUGCAAGUCGAACGUGAAAAGGGAAACCUGAGUAAAGUGGCGUACGGGUGAGUAACGCGUAGGUAAUCUACCCCAGAAUCUGGAAUAACCUGCCGAAAGGCGGGCUAAUACUGGAUAGAGCGAGGGAACUCGUAAGAGAGUUUUUCGGGAAAGGGAGCCCGCAAGGGCCUUCGUUCUGGGAUGAGCCUGCGUCUCAUUAGCUAGUUGGUAAGGUAACGGCUUACCAAGGCGAUGAUGAGUAGCUGGUCUGAGAGGAUGAUCUGCCACACUGGAACUGAAACACGGUCCAGACUCCUACGGGAGGCAGCAGUGGGGAAUCUUGCGCAAUGGACGAAAGUCUGACGCAGCCACGCCGCGUGAGUGAAGAAGGCCUUCGGGUUGUAAAGCUCUGUCGGAUGGGACGAACAUCUUCAUAGUGAAUAGCUAUGAGGACUGACGGUACCAUCAAAGGAAGCACCGGCUAACUCCGUG
rnacentral:rRNA from 1 species